CAAAUAUACGUGAGAUACACACCAUUCAGUAGUGGACUUUAUUCAAUCAUUUUUUCCAAACAUAUAUGUCUAAUACACUCGUACUACUGAGAUCUUGAACGAAACAUCCAAUUCUACAAGAUAAACCACCACGUAUCAUCAUCAUCAUUUAUUAACAUCAUUCGCAUCAGGUACAAUAAAGAUAAAAUAAGGAAGGGCACAGGCACGUAUCUUCUUUCUUAAGCAACUAAAGCAAUGUUUCUUCUCCUCGGACAUACUCAAGAAAUUUUCAACACAACAGAGCCGGCCAUCUUUAACUUUUUUAUUAUUGGGAUUUCUAUGCCUAUAGUAUUUAUGUAUCUUUUAAGUACAGUAAACCAUUGGAUUACGAGCAAAAUAUUAUACAUAAAGGAAAGGUUUUAGGUCAAGCAAUGGCAUUUCGACGUAGGAUAAUUAUCCGUAAGUACAUUUCGUUGAAGGAUCAUUUUGGACAUUUGUGAAUAAAAGCUAGUCAUUUUGGACAACAAAUAUUUAAUGACAACUGUAUUUGUCCAUUUUUACAAAAAAAAAAAAACCUCACAUCAACUCACUCAAACGACUGUUACAUAAUGCCUGAAAUUUUGGUCAGUAACUGUCAACAGAUAUUAGUUAGAUAUGAAUAGCUUUUAUGUACGAGUUCUUCCAUCUUCACGUCGAGGUCGGAAACUUUUCAGACUACUCUCAUACUAUAUAUGUCAUAUAGGUAAAUCCAUGAGUGUUCUUAUGCAGAAAAUAUUUUUUAUUAAUUACAUUCUUUAAUGAUCAUUAUAUAAACACUAAACAGAUGUAUAUGGUUCGAAUGUAGAUCGAACUUCUACUGUUGUAGUACUUUAAAUAAGUUAAAUAAUUCAUACACAUGACAGCAAUUCGAAUGGAAGAAGUGCUAAUCAUUUCUCCGUCAUCAAUUAAUCAUCAAUCAACAUGAUGGAUUAUUUAUAUCGGAAAAUAGAAUGGAUUGAAAAAAUUUAUUGGACAAUAAUUUGGUUAAUUGAGAUACGUAUGGUUAGGGCUAGCUCUAUGAGAAGGACAUUGCUCUUGCCUGUACUAGAACAAAUGAAUAAAAGAAGAAAUAAAGUUGAUUGACUUCAUCAAGGACCGAACUUUAUCCGUCUUAGGACGUAUAAGCAGCACUGAACUGGACUGCUCUGAGAUUGAAGUGAACUGGGCUCAGCUCUUUAAUCCUAAAUAUAGAUUGACACCGCUCUGUGAUCCAGUCAUUUGCAAUUCUAGGAACUAGAUCUUGCAAGUUGAAAAUAAAUACACAAAAAUUAUUUAAAAGCAACUAAUUAUCAGAGUGUUCUUGUACCCUCAUUUAAGUGAGAGGGGUAGGGAACCAUCAUUUCAUAAUUUGUGAGAUCAGGAGGGGGAGGAAUAGUUUACAAAAACAACAAAAUCACGCAAUUUUUCCUUGUCAAUAUUUUUCAAAAAUGAGUGUUAUGGACCCAUUGACCCUCUGGCUAACACAAUUUCGUCAUCACAGUGUCCGAGGUACUUCUAAUUAUAAUAUAUAUAUAUAUAUACAACAA
rnacentral:lncRNA from 1 species